UGAAAUGUAGCUUGGGGUAGAGUGUUCGCUUUGCAUGUGAAAGGCCCUGGCUUCGAUCCCCAGCUCCUCCA